rnacentral:rRNA from 1 species
GGGGAAUUUUGGACAAUGGGCGCAAGCCUGAUCCAGCAAUGCCGCGUGAGUGAAGAAGGCCUUCGGGUUGUAAAGCUCUUUUGUCAGGGAAGAAACGGUGGAGGCUAAUAUCCUUCGCUAAUGACGGUACCUGAAGAAUAAGCACCGCCUAACUACGUGCCAGCAGCAGCGGUAAUACGUAGGGUGCAAGCGUUAAUCGGAAUUACUGGGCGUAAAGCGUGCGCAGGCGGUUUUGUAAGUCUGAUGUGAAAUCCCCGGGCUCAACCUGGGAAUUGCAUUGGAGACUGCAAGGCUAGAAUCUGGCAGAGGGGGGUAGAAUUCCACGUGUAGCAGUGAAAUGCGUAGAGAUGUGGAGGAAUACCGAUGGCGAAGGCAGCCCCCUGGGAUAACACUGACGCUCAUGCACGAAAGCGUGGGGAGCAAA